CCUACGGGUGUCAGCAGUGGGGAAUAUUGCCCAAUGGGGGAAACCCUGAUGCAGCGACGCCGCGUGAGUGAAGAAGUAAUUCUUUAUGUAAAGCUCUAUCAGCAGGGACGAACAUGACGGUACCUGAGUCAGAAGCCCCGGCUAACUACGUGCCAGCAGCCGCGGUAAUUCGGAGGGGGCAAGCGUUAUCCGGAUUUACUGGGUGUAAAGGGAGCGUAGACGGCAGUGCAAGUCUGGAGGGAAAGGCGGGGGCUCAAACCCCGGACUGCUCUUGAAACUGUACGGCUUGAGUGCAGGAGAGGUAAGUGGAAUUCCUAGUGUAGCGGUGAAAUGCGUAGAUAUUAGGAGGAACACCAGUGGCGAAGGCGGCUUACUGGACUGUAACUGACGCUGAGGCUCGAAAGCGUGGGGAGCAAACAGGAUUAGAUACCCUGGUAGUC
rnacentral:rRNA from 1 species